CCUUCCCCCUGCCAGUGUUGUGGAGGCCUGAGGAGGGUGAAGUGCACGCCCCUGCCAGCUCCCCCUGCCCUCCCUGUGUGACAGAGGCUCCAGACAGGUGUGCAGGCCUCGUGACACCUGCCAACCACCUGUCACUCAAGCACACCUACUCACACGCGCCUUAAUUGUGAUGCAAAGUGUUAAAAGUGACUUGAAACUUACCUACACAAGGGAAACCAGGGGAAAACGUAAUAAAACUUGACUUAAACACAGGAAAACUUACGAAAAAAUUUGUAAAAGUGACUUAAAACUGACCUAAAGAAGGGAAACCAGUGGAAAUCGUAAUAAAACUGACUUGAAACUGACUUAAACACAGGAAAAUCAACGCAAAAAUUAGUAAAAGUGACUUAAAACUGACCUAAACAAGGAAAACCAGUGGAAAACGUAAUAAAAGUGAAUUUAAUGCUCAAAAACACACGAUACCAGUGAAAAAAGUAAUAAAAGUGACUCAAAACUGACCAAAACACAGGAAAAUAGAGAUAAAAGAGAUAAAUAAGACUGAAAACUUAACAAAACUGACCAAAUUAGUGAAAAAACGAUAUAAAGUGGAAUUAUUGCUCAAAAAAACACGAAACUAGUGAAAAAGUAAUAAAAGUGAUUCAAAACUGACCAAAACACAGGAAAAUAGAGAUAAAAGAGAUAAAUAAGACUGAAAACUUAACAAAACUGACCAAAUUAGUGAAAAAACGAUACAAAGUGGAAUUAUUGCUCAAAAAAAACACGAAACUAGUGAAAAAGUAAUAAAAGUGACUGAAAACUGACCAAAACACAGAAAAUAGUGAUAAAUGUGUUAAAAGGAUUGAAAACUGACCAAAUUAGUGAAAAAAACGAUACAAAGUGGAAUUAUUGCUCAAAAAUACACGAAACUAGUGAAAAAGUAAUAAAAUUGACUCAAAACUUACCAAAACACGAAAAUAGAGAUAAAAGUGACAAAUAAGACUGAAAACUUACCAAAACUGACCAAAUUAGUGAAAAAAACGAUACAAAGUGGAAUUAUUGCU